UCCAGUUCUCUCCUCUUGCCAGGUGGGGCCCCAGGGGAUAAUCUGAGCUACUGUUUCAUCAGAUUAUGGAUCAUAAUCUGAUUCCCCGGUAUUCCUGGCUGGCUGCCCAGGACUCAGGGCUUUACCCUUGGGUCUGCCCUGCAGUGUCCUCUCCUUUUCAUUCUAUUCUGCUUCUAACCAUUCUUUCCUCAAGCCUCUCUUUGUCUCUGUCCUCUCCUCUUUGAGAAAAUAGAGACCUUCAAGAUAUGCAUCAACAUCCUAGCCCCCAACCACUGUAAAGAACCAAGAGGGGGCUGAGAUUUUCACUAGCAGGGGCUUGAGCAUAUCCUGAGUCACCAGUCUGGGGCCACCCUUUAUGGCUCUGUCCUUCAUGUCCCCCCCUAAAUUCUGAACUUCAAUCAAGUAUUGUAUUUCCCAAAUCAGCUAACGCAUGACGGGCAGGCCAAUGUUGUGAUGCCACGGAACUUUAUUAGCACCUAAGGAGAAUUCUGCAAUGAAUCCAUCUGGGCCUGGGCUCUUCGUUGUAGAUGUUUGAGGUGUGGCAUCAGGUUGUUUAUUUGUAUUCAUUCUGUUUUCCUGAUGUGGGAACUCAGUGCAAUAAAUUUUCCCCUGAGGACUGCUUUCAUUGCAUCCCACAGAUUCCGGUAAGUUGUAUUUGUAUUUUCGUUUGCUUGUAGGUAUUGUUUAAUUUCUUUUUUAAUUUUCCCUGUGACCCCCUGAUUGCUCAAGAAUGUAUUAUUCAGUUUCCAUGUGUUUGUAGGGUUUUUGCAGUUUCUUUCAUCAUUAAUUUCUAGUUUCUUGGCACUAUGGUCUGAUAACAUGCAUGGGAUAAUUUCAAUUCUUUUGCAUUUAUUUAAAUAUGUUCUGUGAGCUAGUAUAUGGUCUAUUUUAGAGAAUGUCCCAUAUUCUGCUGGGAAGAAUGUAUAUUCUGAUGUUGUUGGAUGGAACACUCCGUAUAUGUCUAUCAAGUCCAUUUGUUCACAGGUGUGAUUCAGUUCUGUUAUUUCUUUGAUGAUUUUCUGUCUGGUUGAUCUGUCCCUUGGUGUCAAUGGUGUGUUAAGGUCUCCUGUUAUAAUCGUGUUAUUGCUAAUUUGAUUUUUCAUUUCUAUUAAUACUUGCCUUGUAUAACUGGUUGCUCUGGAAUUUGGUGCAUAUAUAUUUAAGAUUGUUAUCUCUUCCUCUUGAAGUUUUCCCCUAACCAGUAUGUAGUGACCUUCUUUAUCUCUUAGGAUCAUUCUUGGUUUGAAGUUCAUAUUGUCUGCAAACAGAAUAGCUACCCCCACUUUUUUGGGGGUUCCUUUUUGCAUGAAGUGUUGUUUUCCAUCCUUUGACUUUCAGUCUGUGAGUUUCCUUUUGGGUUAGAUGGGUUUCUUGUAGACAACAUAUGGUUGUAUGUUUUUUCUUGAUCCAUUCUGCUAGUCUGUCUCUUUUAAUUGUUGAAUUGAGACCAUUUACAUUAAUGGUUAUAACUGUUACAUAUUGGUUUAUUGUUGACAUGCUAUGUUUCUGCUGUUGCAUCUUUAUCUUUCCAUUCUGUUUAACUGUCUGCCUUGCUUAGUGGUUUUUUCCUAUGUGUAUCUAAACUGUGUUUCAUUAUUCUUUGCAAGGUUGGCUGGUGAUCAUGAAGUUCUUCAGCUGUUCUUUGUCAUGGAAGUAUCUUAUUUCUCCAUUCAUUUUGAAGGACAGUUUUUCAGGGUACAUCAGUCUAGGUUGAAGAUCUGAAAUACUUCAUUCCAUGCUCUUCUUGACUUCAUUGUUUGUGCUGAGAAGUCUGCUGUGAUUCUGAUAGGUUUUCCUUUAUAGGUGAUCUGUCUUUUCUCCCUAACAGCUUUUAAUAUUCUGUUCUUAUGUUGGAUUUCUGGGAUGGUGAUUAUUAUAUGUCUGGGUGUAGUUUUAUUUUGAUUAUGGCUAUUUGGGGUUCUAUAUGCUUCACUAAUCCAUAUGUCAGUUUCCAUUCUCAUGUUUGGGAAAUUUUCAGCUAUUACUUCUAUAAAUAGCCUCUUGAUAUCAUUUGUGUUAUCCCCUUUUCAUUUAUCCCUAUCAAUUUUAUGUUGUUUUUCUUUGCAUUAUCUUGCAGCUGUUGUAUUGUUAUUUCUUGAUUCCUUGUUAUUUUUUAAGAUCUUUCCUUUCCUGUUCACUAGCUGCAAUCUUGUCUUCAAGGUCUGAAAUUCUAUCUUCACUUUCAUUGAAGCAGGUUUGACAACUUUCAAUGGAAUUUUUGAUUUCCUGUAUGUCUCUUUGAAUCUGCUUCACGUAUUCUGUUUGUUUCUUAUAUUGUUCAUCCAGGGAUUCUAUCAUUUUGUUUUGUUCCUCUAAUUUUUUAACUCUGUCUUCUUUAGAUGUGUUCAGCAUCUCUUUCAUUACUUUUAUCAUUUCUUCUUUUACCUGGAAGAUUAAUUCUAGUUUGAAUUCCUUUAAAGCUUCCCAGAGUUGCUUCUUUAUUUCAGUUGCUAUUAUUUCAGGUAUUCAAGUGUAUGGCAUAUAUUUUCUUCUAUGAACAUAGCUCCUAGGCUGUCUUGGGGUGUGCUGGAGGUUUGAGAUUGCAUUUUGGUCUUUUAUUUUUUCAUUUUCAUAUAUCUCUGUGUUUCAAGUGUUGCUCCAAGGCUUCCCCUGGGCAUGUUGGAAAUCGUCUGCCAUGCCCUUGGCUCCUGGGAAUGAAUGGAGGUUGCUGAGCAUGGUUCAGUCAGGCCCACAGGACUUCCCAUGCCACCUCUAGUGUUCCAGGAAGCUGAGUGGGUACCUGACCAAUGUGGAUGAUGGUCCAAAGCUCUCCCUGGACAAGGAACAAUGGGCUGGAACUCACUUGAUGUGUUCUCAACUCCCCUGAUUGAAGAAGGUUGCUGGGUGUAAUCUAGUCUGGCUGCAAAACCUCCCAAGCCCAGUCUAGUGUGGGUGUGUCCUUGACCACUGGGAGAGAUGAUCUUAAACUCUCCCGGGGCUUGAGAUGGUGAACAGGAACUCACUCCCACUGGCAGCCCAGUUCCCUUCUCCACCAGCACAGCUCCCCAGAUUUCACAGUUAUAUUUCUUUAAUGGGAUAUUUUUAUUAUUUGUUCUUAUACAUGUUGCAUUUAAGUUUCUAAAUUUACUGGUAUUCCUUGUGUUUAGACAAUAGCACUAUAGAGAAUAAUAUUAGAACAACCCUAGCAGCCUUUAAUAUAAACUUCUAUAAAAUGGGGCUUCUUAAAUAAAAUCUAGCUCAGACUUAGAAAAUAUACAGGCCUAUAAUAAAACAUAGAACUCCUUCCACCACUUAAAAAGCAGUAGAAUGGUGGCCAUUGUUCAAGUCUUGGAGGACAGGUAUCACUGAGACAGACUGGCUCUGAUCCUUCUCUACACUUUAGGAGAAAUGUUGAGUCUGUUCUGCAUUAGUUUCCAUUCUUUGACUUUAUUUUUAAUCUUUUCCCAACUUUGUACUUUCCUAAAAGAGGCAUGUAAAAAUCACAAAGAACUCUGGACUCUUCCAACCUUUUUCUCCUAAGUUAAGUCCAUAGAAAAUGAGCAUUUGCUAAUGCCAAAGACAGGGAAGUCAUCUUCAAUGAGGGACACAUACUGUGUCUCUGGGUCAGAUGAGACAUCAGAACCAUGCAUGUCCAAGAGAACACAGAUAAAAGUCAUGUCCUGCCUUAGUGUUCUGGGCGAUGGUCUCCUUUGGAGAUUGAACCUGAGACACAGUGGAAAGAACUGACUUCUGGGUGAAACCAGAAGGAGCUAUUUGCAAAAGCAGAACACUUACAGAUGUUUAAAAUAAAGAGGCUCUGCAAACUUUCAAGUUGUGGGCUUUAGAACCUUUAUUGUAAAUAUAUAGGGCACAAAGUAAUGACCUUGCUCAGGCUUUUAACUAUCCCUUAUAGAACUGUGACACACAAUGGUUACUCUGCCAGUUAACUGAUCACUCCUAUAGCAGCUGCCACUCUUAAAAGCAGAGGACAGGUUUCCCCAGCCUCUGUUUGGUGAGUCCCCAUUGAAGCCAGUAGCCAAUGGAAUCAAUAGAAGGUUGACCAGACAUACAACUGGGUUCCUUUCUGGAGUCUGACCUCUGGUUAUCUGGGCCAAUAGAAACGGAAAACAACUGAUUCUUGCGGUUCCAAGAAGAGUUUAAUGAUGACAUCUACCUGCUAUUGCUGCCACAAUCCAGGCCACUUUAAGGACUGCCUUAAGAGGCCCCUCAAGCCAUGCCCUAACUGCAAAGGGGACCACUGGAGGUUAGACUGCCCUCUGGGGCCAGGGCCCCAUGGUUCAGAACCAUCCUAUCAGCUGGCCCAGCAGAACUAAAGGGCCUCAGGGCACACUCCUCUCCUCCCUCUGGCCAGACUGUCAUCUCAGCCUGUCAUUUUUACAGAAGAGCCAUGAGUAAUCAGGACAAGAGGUAAAAACCAGCCGAUUGCUGGGCAUUGGCAUAUGUCUCUUUGUCCUUCUCAACUCUGGUCUUACUUUCAGGUAUUGUAUCUCAAUAAAGUCCCCAAAUAUAUGUGGCUUAAACCAUAAAUUGGAUAACUUUCUCUUCACUCAUUUCUUUUAGUUAUGCCUAAGAGCCCAGCUUGCAUCCUGGAGAGAUUUUAUCCUGUCUAAAUACUGUAAUAUAUAUCCAGGUUGCCUAAUCAAAAUGAUGCUGCAACUGGUUUUUACGAAUAUAGUGCAUAUUGUUGUUUGUAUAUAAAAGCUUAAAAGCUGGGCAUGGUGGCUCACACCUGUAAUCCCAGCACUCGGGAGGCUGAGGCAGGAGAAUCACUGGGAGUUCGAGAUCAGCCUGGGCUACAAAGUGAGCUCAAUGCCUGCCCAAACUGCAUAGCGAGACCCUGUCUCAAAAAAAAAAAAAAAAAAAAACUUAAAGAGUUUUUUAUUUGUCAAAAUAAUAUAUUAAUCUGGCUCUCAUAACUUAUCAAAUUUAGAGAGAUAAUUAUAACUAAAGCUAGAGGGACUUCAGACUUCAUCAAUAAAAGGACCUAAGGGCCAAUGGGUUACAAUUGCUAUUCCUUAGAAACAGUUUCUAAACUUACCUGCCAACUCUAAUGCUAAUGCUUUGAUUAUACAUGGCUUUUUAUACCAACUUUGAUUGUAUAUACUUUUUUUUUUUUUUUUUUUUUUUUUUUGGUAACGGGGAUUGAACUCACAACUUUGUGCUUGCCAGGCAGGCACUUAUACCACUGAGCUAAAUCCCUGGCCCUGAUUGUAUAUACUUUGGUUAAAUUUGUUCUUGCCUAGAAGGUGCCAAACCCCAAGGCAUCAUACAGAUGAAAACAAUAACAUAUAUGCUAGAUUCCUUUUAGAUUCCUUUCACUGGGAUCCACCAGAUCUUGUCCAGAAAAAGUUUAUAUAAUGUAUAUUGAGACUUUAACUAACUGUACUCAGCAGGUCUUAAAUGGUAUUGCAGCUGAUCCGUCUCGCCUAAAUAAAAAGGUAAAAUGAAUGAAACAGGAAACCCUCCAAACUCGGAUGAUAUUAGACAUUCUAACAACAGCAAAGAAGGUACUUCUGCAAUCUAAAUGCAUGUAUAUCCCUGCUCCUUCUGCUAAUAUCUCAAUAACUGUUCAAGGUAUCAGAUGAUAAAUCAAUGAUAUGUCAGACUCUAAAAAUUCAUUGGACCUUAUUCUUAUCCCCAUAUGAUGGAAAUCUUUGUCAGAUGUAUUCACAAUUAUCUUAAUAAUUUUAUUAUUUGGUCCAUGCAUACUUAAUUGCUUCUUUGUGUUUACUCUAGACUUAAAGCUGUACACCUACUCAAGGUGAAAACACCUGGUAUCUCCUGAUGGCCGUUAGAUAGAACCUCUGCAGAUUAUCACUGACUGCCAUUCAGUGACUAUUCAAUGAACAUUCCAUGGCCUGAAGAGGCCAGUUCAGUCAUCACCCAUUACCCCUUCACAGCAGUUGGGUUUACUUCUUCAGACUGGGGAAUGUUACAGGCAGCUGAGUUAGUUAGAAAUAUUACAGGCAGUCAGAAAGGACUAGGCCCUCAUAGGAGCCAGUGCAGAAGAUCAGAUACCUUGCAACCUUGGGGGAGACAGACUCCUCCCAUGGUCGCCACAUCUCAAGACAAAAGGCAAAACAAGUGUAACCACACUCUAACACAUCAGGGACUGACAUUCUAAAUAGGUAUGGAUCACCUUGAGCAAGCCAGGAGUCACUGUCCCAACCCUCUAUCGAAAGAGUCACUGUUCUUUAAGCAUAUCUGCUUGCUACUUGACUCACCUCCCCAUUUGUCUGUGAUUUGGUCAAUUUUAUCUGAACAAUUAAUCUUAUUGGUUGACUAUAGUUCUCUCCAACCUCAAGCCCAUCUUCCUGGUGAGUUCACAGUUUUUUACAUCUUGGACCUGUCUCACCUCAUGAUUUUACUCCAUAAAAGUCCCUAGUAAAGACAGAAUCUUUGGCAAACCACUCAGGGUCCCUUGACAGGAGCUUUCUUUCUCUCAAUAAAUAUAUUCUGCUCUUAAUCUGCUUUGUUCCUAAAAUUUAGUCUUCAAUUUUAGAGAACACAAACUCAUAUGGAUAUCUAGUAGGUUGGGACUUUCAUUCCCCUGUAUCAGGGUCAUCAGUUCACGGCCUAAAGAAAAGAAAAAAACAAAACUACUUGUUUUUGUUGUUGGGGGGAGGUGCAUUUUGCCAAAAAUUGUGCUGCUACACCUGUGGGGGUAACACAGGAAAUAUCUGUCCCUUCAACAAAAUCUUCUACUAUAUGUCCAAAGUAUAGAUGUUAUUGGGCCACCUAAAGUAAAUUUAGAAGUGAUGUGGAAGGCCUACCUGUUCCAGAAAAAAAAAGAAAACUUCCAGCAGGGCCUGUAUCAGCCAUGCCAAAGAGUGAUGGCUCAGACAGUUUCCCUGAGAUGGCACAGCCCUGUUUGGCUGGCAGGCUCUUAUUGGCUGGGGGUAACAUGAUCCUGAUUUGUGGUUUGCUGAUUUUUGUUUGCACGAUACUCUUACAGAAGACAAUUUCAACUAACCAAUAUGACAACAACUAACCUGUAAAACUUCUCAAAAUUCAACAUUUGGCUUUCACUAGCUAGUAACAGGCUGGCUCCAGCACAUCACUGUUUCACCAUGGCUUUGUAGUGGGUCUUGAUAUCUGGUAACAAAUUCUCACACUCCGUUUUUUUUCAAAAUUGUUUACUACAGAGGUACUUGUUUCGAAGCCAUGAUGAAUGUAACUCUACAUUUAUUUAGGUCUUGUUCACUUUCUUAUAUCGAAUUUUAGGUUUCAAUACACUGACACUACACAGCUUGCUGAGUUCCUUGAGUUUGUUUCCAGAAGAAAGAAAUUGUAACCUUACAUUUGUGGGAGGAAAUGGGAAAACAACUUAGAGCUAGUUCAAGGCUACUAAAAAACCAAACCAACACAAGUCUAUGUAGACUUCUACAUAUUUGUAAAGGUUAUUUAACAAGGCAAAUUGCAAGUUUCUUCUCCUCCCACUACUCACAGGCCUUCAGGCAAGAGGGGAACCAAAGAGCUCCACUAAGCCUGGAGUUAGGUCCAGACAAGAGAGAUGAAAGAAACAACGGUGCUUGUUUCAGCUGCAAGGGGAAAUCAGAGUUAUGGUUCAAUCUACUCAAAACACUUCAAAUCACCCCAGAUUCUCCUAUUGCUCCUAUUCUUCCCUUGACAAAAAUUAGAAAAUCUAUAAAGAAAGGGGAUCUAAGGCUUUUUGGUUUUCUGAUACUCACUGGGUUCAAUUAAGCAUUAAGCAGGAUCACCCUGAGAUUAAAUUGAUAAUUAAAGAAAAAGCAUUUAAAGGGCUUUUAGGCACAGAAACAAAUGCUUCAGUUAUUGGCCAAUGCCAUUAGCCUAUGGCAUGGCUUCUGGAUGUGACAACUGCAGAUCUACAGGGUAAAGGCAAUGUUCUCAUCCUGGUAAAAGUGCUAAAUUGAUUUAACCUGGGGGGAUACAACGAGCACCUUUGCUGCCACAUGCAAUCAAUUUGCUUUUGAAUUACAAAUUUAUGAUCAAUUUAGAAGAGUAGUCACAAGGAGGGAAAAGCCAGCAUCUCCCAAGAAUCAGCCAUUCUGGGAUGGGGACAAGCCACCAAGAAAUCAACUAGCCAGCCUUUCUGGUAGGCUGAACAGGCCGAGUGGGUUCUGUUGUACUCUAAGAAAAUAGCUUCGUUAUAUGUGUAUUAUAGCAAACCUGUAAAGUGGCUUACUAAAUGUGUUUUUUUUAUCCUUUUUCCCUAACUGAUAUUUUAAGUGACGUAAUUGAUAUGUUGAGCAAUACUCUCCUCUGUAAAGAAUUGCAAGAAUCUCACCUAAUUGAUAUGUUAACCAUUGUUGCCCUCUACAAACUACAGAAGUUGUGCUAAAACAAGCUAACAAGGGUUGUUAAUCACUGUUAGGCGCCUCUAUUCUCCGCUAAAGAGCUAAAGAAAACUAGAAUGGCCCAUUAAUUUACACUUGUUUAAAGUAACCUGCUUGUGUGCAGAGAGAUUUGCAUAUGAGUUUAACCCUUUACCCUGACCUUGACACAUAACCGCCGUUUCCUGUUCUGUAUGGCGCCUUAUUCCCUCCCUCUCCCCUCACCUAUCUAUCUAGGCCAUAAAGAAUUUGGGUUUCUGGUGACCUCUUCCCGACCCGGUGAUGAUCUGUCAUAAAAUGAGCCUGCCCCAAAUUUUAAGAACUGUUUAGCUUCAAAGAAAUUACCGGGAAAUACUAUGGCCCAAACCCCAAUCGGUGCUUUCCUUUUGUUCUGUAUGCAUCAAAUGUGUUAGAUAUCAGACCUUUGUAAAACUUAAGUUUCAGCUUCUUGUAACUCUUGACCCCUCUUGACCCACUAGUGAAAACUAGCUGUCCUGGGAUAAUUAACUGUCCACUUUCUUCUCCAAAUAUUGCUGCAGAUGUGCCACUCCGAGAUAAUGUCAGUCUGUAGGAUGGGAGUAAUUUGAGAAACACCAGGAACUCCCGAGAUUGUCAGAGCUAAGUGGACAGCAAUACAGUUUCCAGACUCGGGUCAACAAGUUUGAUGGCUCUGCAGGUUUCUUUGUUUCUCCACCCCCCCUUUUCCUCCAGCCUCUUUUUAAAGUCCUCCCUUCAGUCUCUGGGACACAGUCUCCAAAUUGGCUCCCUGAGACUGGUCGCCAGGCCUGGAAAUAAAGCCUUUGCCACCUAAAUUUUUGGUCUCUUGCCUCCUUGGAUUUUAUACUGGGGCCCAAGUUAUAACAGGUUCUAGGGAGAGAAAACUGAGAUAGCUUCUCCCAUAAGCCUAGCACAGGCUGAGUUGAUAGCAACUAAGGUACAUAAAGCAACUAAAUGCUUGUGUUGUUUGGUUGAUUUUGCAGGCCUUGGGCCAGUGGUCUGAGCAUCUUUUGGGAGGUGACAGCAUGCAAUACAACAAAUAUGGGGGACUUCCUUCUAUCUUGUCUUUAAAAAUCCAAUAUUGUUCUCAUUGUUUUUCUUUAUUCUGAUUGUUUUGCUUUAUUCAAUACUCUGUUUUGAUUGGUUUUAUUCUGUUUUGUUUUUGGUUUGAUUUUGCUAUCUAUACCUGACGGAAUGGACAACUACUGUGAAGACAAGAUAUACUAUUAUAGUAGCUAUGGUUUGUUUUCCUAUGCUGCUUUGAAGUUAUGUACCAAUUUUGCUGCAUUGUUGGAUUGGCUUUGUUCUGUUUUGUUUUGUUGGAUUUUACUAUCUUUAACAUAAAAAAUAAAAAAUUAAAAGGAAUAGUAGCCAGAAGGGUGUGGAGGAUGAUAGAGUCUCUCAGCUUGAGGCUUAGCUAUCUCUAGUCAGUCACCCAAUUUGGUACCAGGCCCAGAGAAGCCACUUACCUAAGAGUAACUUCUAUAUUCUCCUUGUAGUUCCAGAAAUAAACCUCCUUCUCCCUUUUUGCACAUGUGCUGAUCCUUCUCCAAUCCCAAGACUCCACAACCACUCAAGCACUCCAUCCCCAACCCCAGCAAAUCUUUCUGUUUCCUGUUUUGUCCACACAGAUGCUCCUUUCAAGUCAGCUAUUGUAGGCCAUUUUGCCCACCUCCCAAUCUCCUCCCCCAACCAGACCUGACAAAAGUAGUUUCGCUUCUUUGUUCUCCCUGAGAAUGCCUGCAACUCUUCUGCAGCCCGCUGGGCCCACAAUAAGCGCCUCUUUUCUACUUUGUCUAUCAUGCCAAAAUCGUAUCGAUCUUAUCAGAGUAGACUUUCUUCAAUGGGUAAGACAUCCCUAGAUUUCAUUUCUAGCCCUCAGGGCCUAAAACCAUUUUAGGAUUUUUGCCUUUAAGAAUUCAUGUAAAUGGUGUAAGGCAUGUACAAGUUCCCCACAAUGCACUGGCCUGGCCUGGCUUGGUGUGGCAGGAUAUAUGCCAUGGAUUUGAUGUUUGCUUGCAACUGCAGGCAAUGACAGGGGGACAGAGAGGCAGCUAGCCAGAGCCUGCCAAGCUUUUUAAUGGCCAGGACACUGCUGGCAGUGCUACAACACUUGGCCCUGGGCUGGGAAGGUGGGGUGUGGCUCUGGCACACCCCAGCCACCGCUGUUUUUCCCAUCACCUGUUCACAUGCUUUUAUGCAUCAAAAGUUUACAGGGCACCAGUGCUCGGGGACCCUUAACCACGGCAGGCCUCCAGGCCAGAGCAGGAGAACAAUCUGCACACUGAGAUGGCAAGAGAGAGCUCUAGGUGCUUAAGUAUAAAAUGCAGGGUUUUUUCCUGUACCCUACCCAGAAAUUCCUUAUAAUCCUCAGGUCUGAAAAUAGUUAUAAUUUGUAAUUUUCCACAGAUCACUCCAUGCCGUGUUCCUGUUCUGUAUGCGUUGCCCACCCCCCUCCCUUUUUCUGUUCCUUCUCCACUGGGCUCAUAUAGAUAAGUUAACCACCAGCCUCAUAUCUCCCCCACUCUUUUUAUUAUAGAAAUAUCCUGCACCUAGCCCUCAGCCCAACACAGCCCAACACCCUGUUUUCUGAGAUCACUGUGCUCCAGAUGUCCCUUAUAAAACUCCCCGGAUUCCCACUCUGUCUUUUGAACCUUUACCCUGUUUUGUGGUUUUUGCUAAUAAAAGCUAUACGCCCCACUAUGUCGGCAUGCAGAGGCUGGCAGUCUCCACUGCUCCCUGCAUCACUGGCUGCCAGCUAAAUAAAGCACUUCUUUUUCUUCAAAAAUAUCUUGCCUUGUUCUGAGCAACAUUUGGGGAUCUCACUUCUGGGCUACAUUUAGGGGCUCAUCCUGAAUUACAUGGGGACCCCUCCCCACAUAAUGUUUCACCAAUCGAUUGGCUUGAACCAUCUGUAAGUAUUUGGGUUUUUUGUUCUUUGUAAUUUGAGUGUGCACGUUUGAAAUUGCAGACAAGCCUGGGCUCAUUCUGCACCAGAGUGGGACGCCUUCCAGGAAAGGACUUCUAGCCCAUUUGUGAUUUGGGGCUUUUUGCCCAUUUGGUUUUAUGCUUGGUAUAUUUUUACUGUGGAGCCAUUUAAUUGUUUGACUCUGUUACCUCAGUACUAACAUUCAAAUUUCUUUUAUUUCUCUUAAACUACUGUUGCAGGUUCCGUGUGGCUUAUUGGACUUAAGGGUCAUAAUAAAAAUUUGUUUCCCUUAGGUUGCUGAACCAUGGACAGAAAAACCUUUGUUUGUGUCUUUAAUGUUAGUCUUGUCUUUUGUGGCACCUUAUUUAAUGUUUUAGACAACUGAUUACUUACAACUUCGGCAUGAGUUAAAAAGGUUUUUUUCUUUCUGGUUAAAAUGUAAAUAUGUAUAUAUAUGCACAUAUAUUUACACACACACAAAUAUAUAUAUAUAUGGUUUUUUAUUUUUUAUUUUUGUCUUUUUCCUUUUUAUCGGUACGGGGGAUCGAACUCACGACUGCCUGCUUGCAAGGCAGGCACUUAUGCCGCUGAGCUAAAUCUCUAGCCCCUAUAUAUGGUUUUUAAAAUUAUAUUAACUUUACCAACUGAAACCAGGUCAUACUGUUAUUGAGCCAGUUUAAAAAGUUAGUUUUAAAGUGUAGCAUUUUAAGGUGGUAAAAAGACAUAAAAUGAUUCAAUAUAUUUUAGAUUACUAAAAGAAAGUCAUUUUGUUAAAAGUUUUAAUGUCUAAAAAGCUAGAGAAGAGAUAAUUGACUGGUAAUAAGUGAGAAAAACAAAUGUGUUCAGAAUUUAACAGAAUUAGAUCAGUAAACCUUUACUGAAAAAUGUUUCCAUUAAAAUAAGAUUAUAUUCUAAAAAGGGGAAGGAUCUGUCUUCUCUACUCAUUGCUCCACUUGGGAUGACUGUCAGAGAUUUUGCAGGUUUUAUUUACAGCAGAAGAGAGAGAAAACAUUCGCACCAUGGGAUAAAAAGCAGUGUGUGUUCCAGAUGAAAACCUGUCCUCUGAUCCCAAAUUCCAGAACCAUGUUUUCCCUUUGUCCCGCGGACACCCAGAGGUAAGAAGGCUCUCGAUCAGUAUCGCAGUUGUUGGCCAUCAGAAAACCCAUCGAUUUGUCCACGGUAGCAGAGGUGAGACAAUUGGCUGAUGAGUCCCCCUUAAGGUUUCUGGAAGUAUUACAAGAAGCCUAUUACAUUUACACCCAUAAAUCUGGUAACACCUAAAAAGCAAGGGCCAUUAAUAUUGCCUUUGUAACUGCUGGCCCCUGAUAUUAAGCAAAAAUUGCAAAGGCUUGAGGGAUUUAAGGGAAUUCCCCUCAGUUAGUUAUUAGAGAUUGCUUAAAGAUAUUUGACAACCAGGAAGACCCUAAGGACCAGAAGCAGACAAAGCUGCUGGGAAUGCUACCUGACAAAGUCACCCAGCCGGCUGAGAAGUCUCCUCUGCCUCUAGAUAGAAAUCAAUGUGCUUAUUGCAAAGAGAAGGGGCACUGGCAAAAGGACUGUCCCAAGCUCUUCCAUGGGCUUUAGAUCUUUUUUUUUUUUUAAUCAGUACUGGGGAUUGAACUCACGACUGCCUGCUUGCAAGGCAGGUACUUAUGCCGCUGAGCUAAAUCCCCAGCCCCCAGGCUUUAGAUCUUUCCAAGGGGCUUGAUAACGUGGCAGCCGGAUGGCCACCUUGUCUGUGGGUGAUUUCCUUGGUGACCCUUCUAGUAAAGGAGGCUCAAAAAUUGACUUUUGGAUAGAAACUUUUAAUUGUCUCCGCCCAUUCGCCAGAGACUCUCAUCAAGGCUCUACUGGACUCAUUGUUGCCCAAUUCCCGACUCAUGCACUAUCAGGCAUUACUUCUGGAUCUGACUACCAUCAGUUUCAAGGGGACACUGGCUUUGAACUCAGCUACUCAGCUGCCUGAUGAUGACCCCCCUCCUUGCCCUUCUGAUCAUCUCACGGGGCUUCGACUAGACUUGACAGAUGAGCCACUAUCCAGAGUUACAUUGUAUUUCUCCAAUGGAAGCAGUUACAUCUGUCAAGGUAAGUGGGUUGCAGGAGCCACCAUUACUAUCGACUCUCAGAUUCUAUGAGAACAAACCUUGGUGCCAGGAACAUCAGCCAGAUGGGCUGAACUCAUUGCCUUCACUGAGGCCCUCAAGUUGUCAGACUGAUAGCAAAUAUGCAUUUGCUUCUGCCCAUGUUCAUGGGGCCAUUAAUCAAGAGUGGUGUUUAUUGACUUCUGGGGGGUCAAAAAUGAUCCUCAGAUUUUGGAUUUGUUAGCUGCCAUUUGGAUGCCAACGAAGGUGGCUAUUAAUCUAGCAGACACCACUGCCCAAAAAAUGGCCACAAAAUCAGUGGGGAUUGAGACAGCCCCGGCAUUGCUGCUGAUUCCAUCUACUCUGUCAGAGCCCUUUUCUCAAAAAGACUUGAAUUUGGCAGCUCAACUCCAAGUGAAGCCUGAUAUCCCCAGGGGCUGGUACCAACUGCCUGAUAAGCGAGCCCUCCUCCCCGAGGCCUUAGGAUGAGAACUCAUCCAACAAGCUCAUCAGUCUACUCACAUGGGAGGAUCAAAACUCACUGCUCUUUUUCAAGAUUGUUUCUUUAUCUCUCAGUUAUCCAAGCUUACUCGGUUUGUGAGCCUUAGAUGCCCUCAGUGCCAGUUGGUGAACCCAAAAUGACCACAAAAAAAUGGGAAAGCCUGGACUUCAAGGGAAUAAGUACUUAUUAGUAAUGGUAGAUACUUUCACUGGAUGGUUCGAAGCUUUUCCUACUAAGUCUGAGUCAGUCCUGAUAGCAGUUUCCCUGAUUUGGCCUCCCUUUAUCCAUGGGGUCUGACAAUAGCCGGGCUUUUAUAGCCCAGAUAACUCAAAAACUAACCCAAGCUUUGCAGAUUAAUUGGAAAUUCCAUUUUGCUUACUGGCCCCAAAGAUCAAGAUAAGUAGAAAGGAUAAACCAGACUUUAAAAGUGGUAAUAACUAAGAUGGCAUUGGAAACUGGUGAGAACUGGGUGAAUCUCCUUCCUUUUGCCCUCUUGUAUGCGCAAUGUACCCCCUUUGUUACAGGUGUUUCCCCCUUUUUAAAGCUCUAUAUGGGAGACCUCCACCUCUUAUUCCUAAAAUUUCUGAGGAAAAAUUAGCUGAUCUGGCUAAUCAAGAUCUUGUUAAGUCCCUCCAGGCCCUUCAGCUAGUUCUGACUUCCAUCCACUGGUUAUUCUGAGAACAACCACCUCUGCCUGCAGCCCAUCCUGAGGACGAACAUCCUGCAGCAAACUGGGAACAUUAGUCCUCAUUAAGAGACAUCACCAUGAAAGAUGGCAGAUAGAUAACAUCUGGCUACAGAGGCUCCCUGAGACAGUCAACUUAGACUUCAACAUAAUGCAGAGUGGGGAGCCCCAAACACAAGGAGAUGAAUUCUCUUGUCCCAAGAAGAAAUUAAGGUGAGAAGAACCAACCAAACAUACAGUCCUGGUGCUAUUAUUGGAACAGCUAAAGGUUCAGUGUUCUUGCCACAGUGGACAACUUGCUGACAAUCCGAGGUCCCACCACAGCUUGCCAAGGUCCCAUUGCAAUUUGCCAAGCCUUCUGAGGUCCCGCCACUUGGACUCACUGGAGGCACAGUUACACUGAGUUCAGGGGUUGGCAAGCUGAACGGAGAGCUGAGCUGGCAGGGUGCCUGCAUCAACCUGUGGUGAGUGAUGGGAGUGGGGCCAUUCCACAGAAAGGGGCCUCUGGUGGACUGGUAAGCACAAAGGGCAGCAGUGACUUCAGUCAGUUGUUCUCUUCCCGAAUGGGAUUGGUGGAAUGAGCUGGGUCUGGGUCAUGGGACCUGACUGAGACCCAAUAGGUUAUCCAAAAUCAAUAGUGGUGGUGCAUACUAACCACACUAACCUAGUGAAGCCUCACAAGUUUGACUGACCUGGAGGGGAUGUGGUGCAAAGUAAUAUAGUGCAGGCCACAGCAGCUUGGCUGACCCAAGGGGAGGCAGUGCAUAGUAAUACAGUGCAGGCCACAGCAGCUUGACUGAUCCAGAGAGGAGGUGGCACAUAGUAAUACAGUGAAGGCCACAGCACCUUGACUGAUCCGGAGGGGAGGGACCAGUAUAUGCUGUCCCUGUCUGCAACUCACUAGCACAUGGCAGUGGGAAGGGUCAUCUAGCCAGCGUGCUUCAGAAGAAUUGUAACCAGCAAAGAAAGAAACUGGGACCCCCCAGAAGAAGCAAAAAAGAUGGGAAGAGGAAGCAACAACAAAAAGUCCCCAGGUUCCAACCCUGAGAACAUUGACCCAGGACAGGUAAAUACAAAGGAGAAUGAGAACAGCAAACAUAAUAUCAGACAGAGUGCCAGUGGACAUAAAGAGAUAUCUUUGGGACCUCAUAGACCAGUUCAAAAGUGAAAUAUUUAGCCAAGUAAAGCAAGAUAUAAGAUUAAUACAAGAGAUCCUAAGCACCCUCAAGAAGACAGGAAGAAGGGAGGAACUCAAACAAAGGAGAGAACCAUUUGAUGAAGAAUAUAAAAAAAUAUAGAAUACAUGAAGCAGAUUCAAAGAUUACCUGGAAAUUAAAAACUCUGGAAAGAUGGCAAAUCAGCUUGAAAGAAACUAAGGAUAGAUUGUCCAAACUGGAGGACAGUUUUGCAAUGUGGGAUUAUGAAAGGGAAAACUUUUUAAAAGUAACAAGGAAAUAAGCAGUAUCAACACAAAGGUUAGAAGACAAGAGGAUCUAUAACUUGAGAAUAAAGAAUGUGAAUGAAGAAGCUGGGGUACAAACAAUGGAACUACAAAGGUUAUUCACAGAAAUAAUUAAGGAAAACUUCCCAAACACAGGAAAAGGAAAUGAUAUUCUGAUAUAUGAGACAUACAGAACUCCAGCCACCUACAACCAAAACAGAGCAUAUAAUACUCAAGAUCCCAGAAAUUCAAUAUAAGAACAGAAUAUUAAAAGCUGUUAGAGACAAGCAACAGAUAACCUACAGAGGAAGGCCCAUCAAAAUAACAGCAGACUUCUCCACACAAACCAUCAAGUCAAGAAGAGCCUGGAGCAAAAUAUUCCAAGCCCUGAAAGAAAAUAACCUUCAUCCCAGAUUGAUAUACCCUGCUAAACUGUCUCUAGAAAUUAAUGGAGAAACAAGAUGCUUCCAAGACAAAGAGGAACUUGAGAAAUUCAUAACCACCAAUCCAGCUCUACAGAGAAUACUGUAGGGCAUUCUAGAGAGAGAGAAAAGUACUAGGGUUCCAGGAACAGUGGCAGAGAGGCCUCAAUGAAUGGAACAGAAAACAGAAUGAAGAAGAUAAGCAGACAACUGAUGGCAAAAAAGAGCAUAACAGAAAUGAGGCAGAGAAGAUUUUAUUUAAAACUAAUAUGAUGGAUAGUAUCAAGUCUGAGAAUAUAGGCAACUACACUGAAGAUGACAAGACUCUACGAUACACAUUCUGGUUUGAUAACUGCCAGUCUUUGAAGUUAUAUCCUAUAUACAAAGUUGUGUUUUUAUUAAUACUGUUAUGCACUGAUAUAUUUAAUUAUAUUAUGUUUGACGAUAUAGCCAGUUCUAUUGGAGAUAACAAGAGACAACACAGGAACCAUGGUAGAACUCUUUGUACAACAGUCUUAUAUGUUUUUUUUCAUUUCAUGUGUUUAUAGAAAUGUUUUUUUUAAAGUCACUUUAUUUACCUACUAAAUACUCUCACACAUUUUUUUUUUUUUGUCUUCUUCGUUUUUACUGGUACUAGGGAUCAAACUCACGACCGCACACUUGCAAGGCAGGUGCUUAUACCACUGAGCUAAAUCCCCAGCCCCUAUAGAAAUGUUUUGUUUUGUCUUGCUUUGUUUUGUCUCUCCCUCUAACAUAGAUAUACAUGUUAAGAUUUAUGUGUAGAAUCUAUAAACAGUUUAUGAGAACUGAUCUUAUGACACAUGAAAUAUACAGAUACUCUGAAGAAAAAGAGACACUAAACUACCCAGUGCUGAUCCUAGAGUGUCAUAAUGUGAAAUCCAACAAUAGUAUUAUUCUUUGUUCAGAGUGGUACUAGCCUGCUUGGGUUUAUUCAAUCUCAACAUAAUUGAAGAUAUGGAUAACUGCAUGUAUGUUUAAGUGUAUAGGAUUGGUAACCAUAUUUCUAAGUUUUUGUUGGACAGUUGAACAGAACUGGUUGCAAUCUACUGUUGAAUCCCCACUUUAUAUGCUCCACUUUAGUAUCUUGAAUAACUAUUUGUAGGAAGACAAUCUGUAAUCAUCAACUAGUGGUUUCUGUUUUUUCUUUGAAAUUAUGUAUUAUUUCUACCCAUUUUCUGUUUUGUUUAGUCUUUCUUUAAAUUAAAUUUAAAAAAAAGACAUUACAUUACCCAGUGCUGAUCAUGCAGUGUCAUGAUGUGAAAUCCAGCAAUACUAUUAUUCUUUGUUCAGAAUGAUUUUAACCUGCUUUAGUUUGUUUAAUCUAAACAUAAAUGAAGAUAUGGAUACCUGCAUGUAUGUUUAAGUGUACAGGAUUGAAACCGUGUCACUAAGUUUUUGUUGGACAGUGAACAGAACUGUUUGUGGCCUCACUGUUUGAAUUCUCACUUUACAUGUUCCAUUUUUGUAUCUUGAACAACUAUUUGUAAAAUGAUAAUAUGUAAACAUCAACUAGUGAUUUUUUACUAUUGUUUUCUCUGAAUUUAUGUAUUAUUUCUACCUAUUUUGUUUAGCUUAGUCUUUCUUUAAAUAAAAUUUUAAAAAAUAAAAAAUAAAAAAUAAACCCUGUGGCAGGGUUUUCUGA